CCUACGGGAGGCUGCAGUCAAGAAUCUUCCACAAUGGGCGAAAGCCUGAUGGAGCGACGCCGCGUGCAGGAUGAAGGCCUUCGGGUCGUAAACUGCUUUUAUAGGGGACGCGGUACCCUAAGAAUAAGAGGUUGCUAACUCUGUGCCAGCAGCAGCGGUAAUACAGAGACCUCAAGUGUUAUCCGGAUUUAUUGGGCGUAAAGCGUCCGCAGAUUGUUUGACGGGUUAGGGGUUAAAACCCAGUGCUUAACACUGGGGUUGCCUUUAAAACUAUCAAACUAGAGGGUGGAAGAGGUAAGCGGAAUUGCAGGUGUAGUCGUAAUAAGCGUUGAUAUCUGCAAGAACACCAAAGGCGAAGGCAGCUUACUAGUACAUCUGACGUUCAUGGACGAAAGCGUGGGGAGCAAACAGGAUUAGAUACCCUUGUAGUC
rnacentral:rRNA from 1 species